rnacentral:rRNA from 1 species
CAGUAGCGCGGUAAUACGGAGGGCGCGAGCGUUACCCGGAUUUACUGGGCGUAAAGGGCGUGUAGGCGGCCUGGGGCGUCCCAUGUGAAAGGCCACGGCUCAACCGUGGAGGAGCGUGGGAUACGCUCAGGCUAGAGGGUGGGAGAGGGUGGUGGAAUUCCCGGAGUAGCGGUGAAAUGCGCAGAUACCGGGAGGAACGCCGAUGGCGAAGGCAGCCACCUGGUCCACUUCUGACGCUGAGGCGCGAAAGCGUGGGGAGCAAACCGGAUUAGAUACCCGCGUAGUCCCUGUCUCUUAUACA